rnacentral:rRNA from 1 species
GAUGAACGCUGGCGGCGUGCCUAAUACAUGCAAGUCGAGCGAACAGAUAAGGAGCUUGCUCCUUUGACGUUAGCGGCGGACGGGUGAGUAACACGUGGAUAACCUACCUAUAAGACUGGGAUAACUUCGGGAAACCGGAGCUAAUACCGGAUAACAUAUUGAACCGCAUGGUUCAAUAGUGAAAGGCGGCUUUGCUGUCACUUAUAGAUGGAUCCGCGCCGUAUUAGCUAGUUGGUAAGGUAACGGCUUACCAAGGCAACGAUACGUAGCCGACCUGAGAGAGUGAUAGGCCACACUGGAACUGAGACACGGUCCAGACUCCUACGGGAGGCAGCAGUAGGGAAUCUUCCGCAAUGGGCGAAAGCCUGACGGAGCAACGCCGCGUGAGUGAUGAAGGUCUUCGGAUCGUAAAACUCUGUUAUCAGGGAAGAACAAAUGUGUAAGUAACUGUGCACAUCUUGACGGUACCUGAUCAGAAAGCCACGGCUAACUACGUG